rnacentral:rRNA from 1 species
UACGUAGGGGGCUAGCGUUGUCCGGAAUCAUUGGGCGUAAAGCGCGCGUAGGCGGCCCAGUAAGUCCGUUGUAAAAGUCAAAGGCUCAACCUUUGAAAGCCGAUGGAUACUGCUGGGCUAGAGUCCGGAAGAGGCGAGUGGAAUUCCUGGUGUAGCGGUGAAAUGCGCAGAUAUCAGGAGGAACACCAAUAGCGAAGGCAGCUCGCUGGGACGUAACUGACACUGAGGCGCGAAAGCGUGGGGAGCGAACAGG